rnacentral:lncRNA from 1 species
AACAACCUUUUUUGAUAUUUAACAUCAUUCAAACUCUUGGUCUUCUCAUUUUAUAUUUAGUUUUAUAUUGUAACCAAGAGAUAUGCUCAUUACCGUGUCACCAACAUUUUAUUAUGAUCUGGCAAUAUCUAAAAGUAUUUGGUUAACCUUCACCGGGUGGAACUAUUCCCCCACCAACACUUAUGAACCCAGAAAAGGAAAUUCUCCAGGCAGUUGCUAAUUAGAUGCGAAAUAGGUGAGUCGUUCGACUAUUUGAUGAAGUGUAACCGGUUUGACGACAUUACCGUGACCUUCAGAUAUUUUUGUGCUGUUGCAAACUAAGUUUUGUAAAUACCUUGAUUAUUUGGAGCUAUUUUACUGCAAGAUGGCCAAGCAAACCGCCGAACAAUCUAGGAAAGAUAUGUUGAGUAAGAAAAAAGAAAGAGAACGUGCAAGAAGACAGAAAUUAAGAACAAUCCGGAAGAAUAUGAAAACCAAAGACAGAAAGAAAAGGAGCGUUACCAGAAAAGGAAAAGCGAAGGAAAAAUUAAACUUAUUUGCGAUUUAAGUGACAGAGAUAAAAGAAAAAAACGAAAAACAUGGAUACAUAAUAAUAGAACAUACAGGGAAAAAAA